GGCUGCUGCCAUGAGGUGACUUCUGCCCAGUGCUCUGGUUGUCAAUGCCAAGAGAUUGAGCCAAGCGCGGGUAAACGGCGGGAGUAACUAUGACUCUCUUAAGGUAGCCAAAUGCCUCGUCAACCAAUUAUUGACGCGCAUGAAUGGAUCAACGAGAUUCCUGCUGUCCCUAGCUGCUACCUGGUGAACCAACAGCCAAGGGAACGGGCUUGGAUGUGUCAGCGGGGAAAGAAGACCCUGUUGAGUUUGACUCUAGCUUGCUGCUGUGCAACGACAUGUGGGGUGUAGCACAGGUGGGAGGCCAGUGCCAUCUCCAGCUCCCAGCGCCAAAGAGUGUCAGUGUCACCUACUGCUCAGCCUGUGUGGCAGGGCACCAGGGAAGGAAGUGCUGUGCAGGCAGGCAGUCACUGUGUGUGCCCUGCUGCACCCUUCUGUGUCAGUGUCAGUGCCAAGGGAAGCUCUGUGAGAGCAUGGUGCAAACCAGCAGUGAAAUACCACUACCUUCACCGUCGUUUUGCUCAGUGAGUGGCUUGGGACUGGUGGCCAUUGGACAUCAACUGCUGCACUCAACUGUGGUGGUUGUGGCCUGAACCCACUUCGUGUGCCAAGCAUGGCUGCCCCUGUGGUGGCUGUGCGACCCUGUGGGGUGAUGAACCCUGUCCAUGUUUGCUUGGAGCCUCGGGACAAUGAGCAGCUGGGGAGUUUGGCUGGGGCGGCACGCCUGUUACACCACAACGCAGGCGUCCUGAAGCAUUGCUCAGAUGGAACAGAAAUCUCCCAUGGAGGAGAAGGCCAAAGGUGCUGCUGAUGUGUUGACUUCCAGUGCAAGUCCAGAACAUGCAAGUGUGGCCCAGCGAUCCUUUGGUUAAGUGCACGGGUUUGCGACAUUGAAGCCAGAGGUGUCAGAAAAAUUACCACAGGGAUAACUGGCUUGUGGCUGCCAAGCGUUCAAAGCGACGUGGCUUUUUGAUCCUUCGAUGUCGGCUCUUCCUAGCUUUGCACCCGCAGCUGAGUCAAAGAGUUGGAUUGUUCACCCACCAACAGGGAACGUGAGCUGG
rnacentral:rRNA from 1 species